UACGUAGGGUGCGAGCGUUAAUCGGAAUUACUGGGCGUAAAGCGUGCGCAGGCGGCCUUCCAAGUCAGGGGUGAAAGCCCAGAGCUCAACUCUGGAAUUGCCUUUGAGACUGUGAGGCUUGAGUACGGGAGAGGUGAGUGGAAUUCCCAGUGUAGAGGUGAAAUUCGUAGAUAUUGGGAAGAACACCGGUGGCGAAGGCGGCUCACUGGCUCAUUACUGACGCUCAGGCGCGAUAGCGUGGGGAUCAAACAGG
rnacentral:rRNA from 1 species